rnacentral:rRNA from 1 species
UUAAACACAAAUAGCCCCCUUAACAAGCCCAAUUCCGUCUGAUCUCGGAGGCUAAGCAGGGUCAGGCCUGGUUAGUACUUGAAUGGGAGACCACCCAGGUGUGAAAAAUAAA